rnacentral:rRNA from 1 species
GGGGGGGGGGGGGGGGGGGGGGGGGGGGGGCGGGGCGGGGGGGGGGGGCGGGCGGGGCGGGGCCCGGCGCGCGGGGGGGUGACGCGUAUGCGACCUACCGUGCACAGGGGGAUAGCCCGGAGCAAUUUGGAGUAAGACCCCAUAAUAUUAUUGGAUGGCAGCAUUUGAUAAUUAAAACUGCGGUGGUGCCAGAUGGGCAUGCGUCCUAUUAGCUAGUUGGAGUGGUACCGGCACCCCAAGGCUACGAUAGGUAGGGGUCCUGAGAGGGAGAUCCCGCACACUGGUACUGAGACAGGGGCCAGACUCCUACGGGAGGCAGCAGUGAGGAAUAUUGGUCAAUGGUCGGAAGACUGAACCAGCCAUGCCGCGUGCAGGAAGAAUGCCUUAUGGGUUGUAAACUGCUUUUAUAUGGGAAGAAUAAGGCGUACGUGUACGUUGAUGACGGUACCAUAUGAAUAAGCAUCGGCUAACUCCGUG